AUUCAUAUAGUUUAUGUAAAACAUUUUACUUUCAUUAAAAAAAAAUAAUCAAAAUUAUGAAUA
rnacentral:tRNA from 1 species